rnacentral:rRNA from 1 species
AUUGACCGCUGGCGGCAGGCCUAACACAUGCAAGUCGAACGAGUGGCGGCCGGGUGAGUAAUGUCUGGGCAACUGCCUGAUGGAGGGGGAUAACUACUGGAACCGGUAGCUAAUACCGCAUACCAUCAGAUGUGCCCCGAUGGGAUUAGCUGGUUGGUGGGGUACCGGCUCCCCAAGGAGACGCUCCCUACCUGGUCUGAGAGGAUGACCAGCCGCACUGGAACUGGGACACGGUCCAGGCUCCUACGGGAGGCAGCAGGGGGGAAUAUUGGACAAUGGGCGCAAGCCUGAUGCAGCCGUGCCGAGUGUAUGAAGAAAGCCCGCGGUUUGUAAAGUACUUUCAGCGGUGAGGCGUUACCCGCAGAAGAAGCACCGGCUAACUCCGUGCCAGCCGCCGCGGUAAUAC